UACGAAGGGGGCUAGCGUUGUUCGGAAUUACUGGGCGUAAAGCGCACGCAGGCGGCUCGAUAAAUUAGAAGUGAAAGCCCCGGGCUUAACCUGGGAAUUGCUUUUAAGACUGUCGGGCUAGAAUCCAGAAGAGGGUAGUGGAAUUCCGAGUGUAGAGGUGAAAUUCGUAGAUAUUCGGAAGAACACCAGUGGCGAAGGCGGCUCACUGGCCCGAUACUGACGCUGAGGCACGAAAGCGUGGGGAGCAAACAGG
rnacentral:rRNA from 1 species